CAAAAAUUAAGAGAGUCAUUUUUGUAAUCAUUAUUAGAGCCCUUAUACUUCCUGAGUAUCAGAACACUUCUAUGGCACAGUAGAUUUUGUUUCAAAAAAAUUAGACUAUAGAUGUUAUUAACAUCAUUUUUUUGUUGUUUAAAGGUCAGAUGUCAACGGACGACUGUCUUUAUACUUGUUGAUAUGUUUGAAUGACUGCAUGCACCCUCAUUAAUGUGUCAUCUAUAUAUGUAUCUAUAUCAUCUUUAUUGUUAUUUUUAUGAUAAUGGAAAUGUCAUAUGCUAAUACCUAUCGUUUACAAAUGAUGUUGGACCUAAUUAAGGGGAGGCUAUCAUUUCAUUGUUUUGUAAUAUAUUCCGUAACCUUACUGGAUAAAACUUGAGAAACCCUUUUUAUCUUGGUUUGAUGUAAUGUUAGGUUUGAUUUAAUGGCUAGACUUCUACAUUCAGGUCUGGAUAAUGCUUCUUAUUAGUUGUGGAAGUAAAACUAAAGCAAGAUCAAAUAUAGUUUGUAUUUUAUUUCAUUAAAUGAACUAUGGCCUAGCAUGGUUCUAAAUGUAUUAAUGAUGUCAGAGCUACUAUUUUGAUUCUAGAUACAAUUGGUCUUAUGUAAGGAUUCUAUCUUGUCUAGGAUCUCCACCUCAGAGUUGUGAAGUCUUGUCUAUGAUCUUCACCUCAGAGCUGUGAUGCAUCAAGAUCUCUACCUCUGGCUGUUAAAUCUAGGAUAUCUGUCACAGGGCUGUGGGGUCAGAACCAAGGUUAUAUAAAUAAAAAAAAGUGUAUCCCCAAUAGCAUCAAUGAGAGCCCAAAUAAAAGCUAAGUUUAUAUCUUAGUUGAGAGACUUUUUGUUUGCUCCCUUUGUAGAGUAAAUACCAUCAACUCUUUGAACUCAUCUAACUCUACUCCAUUGUUCCUCUCCAAUGCCUUCUCUUGACCAAGACUGCUCUAGUGUAAGAUAGCCCCCCCCCCCCCCCCCA